ACUCCUACGGGAGGCAGCAGUGGGGAAUAUUGCACAAUGGGGAAACCCUGAUGCAGCCAUGCCGCGUGUGUGAAGAAGGCCUUCGGUUGUAAAGCACUUUCAGUAGGGAGGAAGGUAGUGCAGUUAACACCUGCAUUAUUUGACGUUACCUACAGAAGAAGCACCGGCUAACUCCGUGCCAGCAGCCGCGGUAAUACGGAGGGUGCGAGCGUUAAUCGGAAUUACUGGGCGUAAAGCGCAUGCAGGCGGCCUGUUAAGUCAGAUGUGAAAGCCCGGGGGCUUAACCUCGGAAUUGCAUUUGAAACUGGCAGGCUAGAGUCUUGUAGAGGGGGUAGAAUUUCAGGUGUAGCGGUGAAAUGCGUAGAGAUCUGAAGGAAUACCAGUGGCGAAGGCGGCCCCUGGACAAAGACUGACGCUCAGAUGCGAAAGCGUGGGGAGCAAACAGGAUUAGAUACCCUGGUAGGAUAGCG
rnacentral:rRNA from 1 species